GGAGGGGUGGCAGAGCGGUCUAACGCACUUGUCUUGAAAACAAGAGUGCCGAAAGGCACCGUGAGUUCGAAUCUCACCCCCUCCGCCA
rnacentral:tRNA from 1 species